AUUGGCUCUCUGGAAGGCAAGAGUCCAACAGAAGUGGCUGACUUGACGCUGAACUCUGGAGCACUGAAUGACACCAACCAGAUUGAGGCGGUCUUCCAAUUCCUCGAGAACGGAGAUGCCUUCCAGAAUGUAGAUGAGUUUCUAACAGCGGUGACAAACUCUCCUCAGGUAUUUAUCCAAUGAACUGCUAGUGACCUCCUGCCAGAUCUGUUUCAGGCACAUGACUUGACUUGAUGUUGUCUUGUUUCCAAAGCAUCCUGCAAUCUCCACUGCUGUCAGAGACAUUGUGAUGAACCUGACCUUCAACAUCAUCAGCACCCACUUCCCAACAUUUGACACAGCUGAUUGGGAGGCUUGGUUCAAGGUGAAACUCGUCCUUGUCCUCCCUAGUUUCACUGCCAAGAUGCUCACCACAACAAUCUCAAACAUCGGCUGCACCAACUACCAAGUGGUCGUUGAGGGAAUUGGAAGUGUUUUUGGCAACAUGGAUUCUGAGAAAACACUGGAAAUUGCCAAAAUCCUUGUGAGUCAUCUGACAGAGUUUCUCAGCCAAUUCAAGUCUCCAGCUUGCCAAAACAACAUUAAAGAUGACUCGGACUGGCUGAAGGUCAACUUGGGUCCCUUUGCUGACAAAGUUGAUUACUCUGAGCUGAAAGAAUUGAACAUCACCGGGCUGGCAGUUUUGGGCUCACUCUCUCCAGAACAGAAAGUCAAUCUGCUGUUGGAUUCCACAACUGGUGCUCUUGAAAAUGUAUCUGUUGUCACAGAGGUCUUCAGCAGUAUUCUUCAAUCUCCAGAACAGAUGGACAAAUUCUUCGAGUACUUUGUUCAAGCCACUAACGGGGCAAACAUUACCACCAUAUACAACACAGCUGUCAGAGACACCAUGCUCAACCUGACUCUGACUGCCCUUGCUCCACGAUUCGCCACCUUCGAAACCAGUGACUUUGAGCUGUGGUUCCAAGUGAAUCUAUUUGUUCUGCUUGCCAGUCUUCAGCCUGCCAGUCUCUCAGUCAUACCAGUGAACAUCAGCUGUGACUCCUUCACUGCCAUAAUCAAGGGCCUUGAUAAGGUUUUGGCCAUACUUCCAGAAGAAGGCCUUGUGUCUUGCAGACAUGACCUUGUGCAAGAGUUACCUAGUGGUACGUAAAAGCACUGUAAUUGAUAAGAAUGCUUGUUUGUUGUGCUGGUAUAACUGGACUGUGCGCUCUGUGGUACACCUGUCUUCCAACUGACCGAUUUUCUUGUUUGUGUAUUGAUCUCACAGGCUGCAUGGCACCAAUUGAUAUUGGCUCUCUGGAAGGCAAGAGUCCAACAGAAGUGGCUGACUUGACGCUGAACUCUGGAGCACUGAAUGACACCAACCAGAUUGAGGCGGUCUUCCAAUUCCUCGAGAACGGAGAUGCCUUCCAGAAUGUAGAUGAGUUUCUAACAGCGGUGACAAACUCUCCUCAGCAUCCUGCAAUCUCCACUGCUGUCAGAGACAUUGUGAUGAACCUGACCUUCAACAUCAUCAGCACCCACUUCCCAACAUUUGACACAGCUGAUUGGGAGGCUUGGUUCAAGGUGAAACUCGUCCUUGUCCUCCCUAGUUUCACUGGCGAGAUGCUCACCACAACAAUCUCAAACAUCGGCUGCACCAACUACCAAGUGGUGUAAGUGUUUGUGAAAAUGAGAGUAGA
ensembl:lncRNA